AUUAUACCUAAUCAUGACGGCUGAACUAGUCUCGCUUUGGCAGACCAUCCACAAGCUGUGAAGAGGGUCUGGCUAGUCCACAUAGCAUUCCG